rnacentral:rRNA from 1 species
UAGAGUUUGAUCAUGGCUCAGAGUGAACGCUGGCGGUAGGCCUAACACAUGCAAGUCGAACGGCAGCACGAGAGAGCUUGCUCUCUUGGUGGCGAGUGGCGGACGGGUGAGGAAUACAUCGGAAUCUACCUUUUGGUGGGGGAUAACGUAGGGAAACUUACGCUAAUACCGCAUACGCCCUUCGGGGGAAAGCCGGGGACCUUCGGGCCUGGCGCUGAUAGAUGAGCCGAUGUCGGAUUAGCUAGUUGGUGAGGUAAUGGCUCACCAAGGCGACGAUCCGUAGCUGGUCUGAGAGGAUGAUCAGCCACACUGGAACUGAGACACGGUCCAGACUCCUACGGGAGGCAGCAGUGGGGAAUAUUGGACAAUGGGCGCAAGCCUGAUCCAGCCAUACCGCGUGGGUGAAGAAGGCCUUCGGGUUGUAAAGCCCUUUUGUUGGGAAAGAAAAGCGAUCGGUUAAUACCCGGUUGUUCUGACGGUACCCAAAGAAUAAGCACCGGCUAACUUCGUGCCAGCAGCCGCGGUAAUACGAAGGGUGCAAGCGUUACUCGGAAUUACUGGGCGUAAAGCGUGCGUAGGUGGUGGUUUAAGUCCGUUGUGAAAGCCCUGGGCUCAACCUGGGAAUUGCAGUGGAUACUGGGUCACUAGAGUGUGGUAGAGGAUAGUGGAAUUUCCGGUGUAGCAGUGAAAUGCGUAGAGAUCGGAAGGAACAUCUGUGGCGAAGGCGACUAUCUGGGCCAACACUGACACUGAGGCACGAAAGCGUG